CAGCAGUAGCCGCGGUAAUACGGAGGGUGCAAGCGUUAAUCGGAAUUACUGGGCGUAAAGCGCACGCAGGCGGUCUGACAAGUCAGAUGUGAAAUCCCCGGGCUUAACCUGGGAACUGCAUUUGAAACUGUCAGGCUGGAGUCUUGUAGAGGGGGGUGGAAUUCCAGGUGUAGCGGUGAAAUGCGUAGAGAUCUGGAGGAAUACCGGUGGCGAAGGCGGCCCCCUGGACAAAGACUGACGCUCAGGUGCGAAAGCGUGGGGAGCAAACAGGAUUAGAUACCCCGGUAGUCCCUGUCUCUUAUAC
rnacentral:rRNA from 1 species